ACGCUGGCGGCGUGCCUAAUACAUGCAAGUCGAACGAACCGCGACUAAGUGCUUGCACUUGGUCAAGGUGAGUGGCGAACGGGUGAGUAACACGUGGGUAACCUACCUCAUAGUGGGGGAUAACAGUCGGAAACGACUGCUAAUACCGCAUAGGACAUAGGAUCACAUGAUCCAGUGAGGAAAGGUGGCGCAAGCUAUCGCUAAGAGAUGGACCCGCGGUGCAUUAGCUAGUUGGUAGGGUAAAGGCCUACCAAGGCGAUGAUGCAUAGCCGACCUGAGAGGGUGAUCGGCCACAUUGGGACUGAGACACGGCCCAGACUCCUACGGGAGGCAGCAGUAGGGAAUCUUCCGCAAUGGACGCAAGUCUGACGGAGCAACGCCGCGUGAGUGAAGAAGGUCUUCGGAUCGUAAAGCUCUGUUGUUAGAGAAGAACAGCGCAUAGAGUAACUGUUAUGCGUGUGACGGUAUCUAACCAGAAAGCCACGGCUAACUACGUGCCAGCAGCCGCGGUAAUACGUAGGUGGCGAGCGUUGUCCGGAUUUAUUGGGCGUAAAGGGAGUGUAGGCGGUCUUUUAAGUCUGAUGUGAAAGCCCACGGCUCAACCGUGGAGGGUCAUUGGAAACUGGGAGACUUGAGUGCAGAAGAGGAGAGCGGAAUUCCAUGUGUAGCGGUGAAAUGCGUAGAUAUAUGGAGGAACACCAGUGGCGAAGGCGGCUCUCUGGUCUGUAACUGACGCUGAGGCUCGAAA
rnacentral:rRNA from 1 species